UAAGCGUUUAAGAAAAGGCGUGACGUUCAUAGUUAUGAGAUGCACCCACUGCAGCAUUAAUAAUAUGCGCUGAAGAUUAAAUUACAGGUUAUCGCGUGAUGAUUAGAUACAAGCGAGCGAUUAGAUACAAUGUAGUAGCUAAUUGAUGGAUGGGAGAUACAAACCACAUCCUGGUUAUGAGCAAUGGUUAUUGAUGCGAUAAUCGUUACCACACUAAGCUUACACUGUAAGCUGAAAAUGAAAAAUGACGUCGGUAGCUUUGUUUUUCUAGGAUGCGUUUCCUUAUUAUGCCGAGCAUAUAAAAAGAUUUUCCGAGGACUAGGUGUUACUGCAAUUCGCUCAUUUGUGUGAUCUUGUGUUGCCCUUAGCGCUUUAGUGACUUGUGCUCUCCAUUGGGAAAAAAUAGAAUGAACACAGUUCAACGUUGUGACCGUGAACUCGAUGUCUUUUGCAUCCAGAUCAGCUGAGCAGCGUCCAAAUGGAAUGAAAAUUUAUAAGAAAAAGAAUCAAUACGCGAGGCGUGCACCUACCAUUGGCUGCUGGUUGAGCUGCAAUUUUUCGAGAUCGCCCUGGUCGAAGAACUCAUCUGCAACCAACUUUGCCAUCUUGUGCUGAACUUCCCACGGUUUUGCAAUCGCCCCGACGUCGCAGGCAGUCAUGAGAAUCCCGCACAAAACUGAUAAAAAAACGUAACGAACAACAUUUUAAUCUACUAUAGAGAACUAUAGCCGUGACACAUGUUAUGUAGUGGUAAUGAAUGGCUCCUCACUUGGUAUAUUACCUUAACACAUGUGUAUGUGUGUACGCACACCUGCGCAAGAGAAUGCUGUCGUCCUAAGGAAAAACACCCUAUGAACCUUCGAGAGUUGCCAAAUUUCCUCCCAUGAAAUGUUCAUGCCUAAGGAAAGAUCUUAGAAAAGUUCAUUUCUAAGGAAGGAUACUUCAUAUUUUCAGGAAGUUUAGGAGAAUUUGCGAACAAAAUUAUUUGAAAAAAUUGAAUAGAUAUAUUCGUGAAUUUAUCAGGAGAAUCGUGUGUUAUCAAAGAAAAUUUGGCAACGCCUGAAGGUUCAUACGGCGUUUUUCCUUAGCACGGCAGAAUGAGAGACCAUUAUUUCACGGAAUUAACAGCGAAUGAUUUAUUAAGGUCCUAGUUUGAGCAAAUCUGUCCUGCUCUUAUCUACACUCAGUUUUGAAUGAGUACUUUUUUAAAUGUUAUGUAUGGAAAGGCGAAACAUCUUUUCCCUCCCUUUCCUUGCACAGUAUUGAUUAAAGUAAUUCAACGUGAUGAAAUUUUUAUACUCUUAUUUUACUCUGUAUACAUCAAAAUUUGUGUCAUAAUUCUUCCUUAAAAUUGCUGAUCAUUUAUUAUAAUGUUGAAAAACUUA